rnacentral:rRNA from 1 species
UACGAAGGGUGCAAACGUUGCUCGGAAUUAUUGGGCGUAAAGCGCACGUAGGCGGCUUAGCAAGUCGGAAGUGAAAUCCCUCGGCUCAACCAAGGAAGUGCUUUCGAAACUGCUGAGCUUGAGUACUAAAGAGGAUCGCGGAAUUCCCGGUGUAGAGGUGAAAUUCGUAGAUAUCGGGAGGAACACCGGUGGCGAAGGCGGCGACCUGGGUCGAUACUGACGCUGAGGUGCGAAAGCGUGGGGAGCAAACAGG